AAAUAAUCCGGGGCAGCGUAAGACUUCCCGUGUAUGAUUGGACCCGCGGGCGCAACGCGCCGGGGGUCAUUUUUGU
rnacentral:sRNA from 1 species